CAGCAGCCGCGGGAAUACGUAGGGUGCGAGCGUUAAUCGGAAUUACUGGGCGUAAAGCGUGCGCAGGCGGUUUUGUAAGACAGGCGUGAAAUCCCCGGGCUCAACCUGGGAAUGGCGCUUGUGACUGCAAAGCUAGAGUGCGGCAGAGGGGGAUGGAAUUCCGCGUGUAGCAGUGAAAUGCGUAGAUAUGCGGAGGAACACCGAUGGCGAAGGCAAUCCCCUGGGCCUGCACUGACGCUCAUGCACGAAAGCGUGGGGAGCAAACAGGAUUAGAGACCCCUGUAGUCCCUGUCUCUUAUAC
rnacentral:rRNA from 1 species